rnacentral:rRNA from 1 species
GGACGAACGCUGGCGGCGUGCUUAACACAUGCAAGUCGAGCGGUAAGGCCUUUCGGGGUACACGAGCGGCGAACGGGUGAGUAACACGUGGGUGAUCUGCCCUGCACUCUGGGAUAAGCCUGGGAAACUGGGUCUAAUACCGGAUAUGACCUGCUCUCGCAGUGGGGGGUGGGUGGAAAGAUUUAUCGGUGCAGGAUGGGCCCGCGGCCUAUCAGCUUGUUGGUGGGGUAAUGGCCUACCAAGGCGACGACGGGUAGCCGACCUGAGAGGGUGACCGGCCA